rnacentral:lncRNA from 1 species
CCAUGUUUUUUCUUGGGAAUACCUUUUGGAACCCAUGUUGAUGUGUUCAUCAGGUCGUCCUCGUCGUCCGUACCAUAUAGGUCUUCAUCGUCCGUACCAUAUAGAUCGUCCUCAUCGUCCUCACCAUGUACUUUGAGCUGCUUCAGACUAUGUAACCUUCCCCUCUCAUAUUCCACAAAAACGUCGAUUAAACCAGUACGUGGGCAAUCAUACCACCAUAGCUUCUCUGC